CUACCCGGGUAUCUAAUCCUGUUUGAUCCCCACGCUUUCGUGCCUCAGCGUCAAUAGUCGUCCAGAUAGCCGCUUACGCCACUGGUGUUCCUUCCAAUAUCUACGCAUUUCACUGCUACACUGGAAAUUCCGCUAUCCUCUCCGACAUUCUAGCCUUGUAGUUUUAAGAGCAAUUCCAAGGUUGAGCCUUGGGCUUUCACUCCUAACUUACAAAACCGCCUACGCACGCUUUACGCCCAGUGAUUCCGAAUAACGCUCGCCCCCUUCGUAUUACCGCGGCUGCUGGCAC
rnacentral:rRNA from 1 species